rnacentral:rRNA from 1 species
UACGUAGGGUGCAAGCGUUAAUCGGAAUUACUGGGCGUAAAGCGUGCGCAGGCGGUUUUGUAAGAACAGAUGUGAAAUGCCCGGGCUUAACCUGGGAACUGCAUUUGUGACUGCAAGGCUAGAGUUGGCAGAGGGGGGUAGAAUUCCACGUGUAGCAGUGAAAUGCGUAGAUAUGUGGAGGAAUACCGAUGGCGAAGGCAGCCCCCUGGGUCAAGACUGACGCUCAUGCACGAAAGCGUGGGGAGCAAACAGG